CCUACGGGGGGCUGCAGUGGGGAAUAUUGCACAAUGGGCGCAAGCCUGAUGCAGCCAUGCCGCGUGUGUGAAGAAGGCCUUCGGGUUGUAAAGCACUUUCAGCGGGGAGGAAGGCGGGGAGGUUAAUAACCUCAUCGAUUGACGUUACCCGCAGAAGAAGCACCGGCUAACUCCGUGCCAGCAGCCGCGGUAAUACGGAGGGUGCAAGCGUUAAUCGGAAUUACUGGGCGUAAAGCGCACGCAGGCGGUCUGUCGAGUCGGAAGUGAAAUCCCCGGGCUCAACCUGGGAACUGCAUUCGAAACUGGCAGGCUAGAGUCUUGUAGAGGGGGGUAGAAUUCCAGGUGUAGCGGUGAAAUGCGUAGAGAUCUGGAGGAAUACCGGUGGCGAAGGCGGCCCCCUGGACAAAGACUGACGCUCAGGUGCGAAAGCGUGGGGAGCAAACAGGAUUAGAUACCCGUGUAGUC
rnacentral:rRNA from 1 species